UACGUAGGAUGCAAGCAUUGUCCGGUUUUAUUGGGUUUAAAGGGUGAGUAGGCGGCCUAUUAAGUUAGUGGUGAAAACGUUCGGCUUAACCGGAUACCCGCCAUUGAUACUGAUAGACUUGAGUGCGACAGAGGGCGUUGGAAUGUGUGGUGUAGCGGUGAAAUGCUUAGAUAUCACGCAGAACACCAAUUGCGAAGGCAGAUGCCUAUGUCGUAACUGACGCUGAGGCACGAAAGCGUGGGGAGCAAUCAGG
rnacentral:rRNA from 1 species